rnacentral:rRNA from 1 species
CUAAGAAUCUUCCGCAAUGGGGGCAACCCUGACGGAGCGACGCCGCGUGAACGAGGAAGGCCGAAAGGUUGUAAAGUUCUUUUCUUGGGGAAGAAUAAAGGGAAGAGAGAAUGCUUCUCUGAUGACGGUAACCGAGGAAAAAGCCCCGGCCAAUUACGUGCCAGCAGCCGCGGUAACACGUAAGGGGCGAGCGUUGUUCGGAAUUAUUGGGCGUAAAGGGCUUGUAGGCGGUUUGGUAAGACUGGUGUAAAAGGCGUACGCUUAACGUGCGUAGGGCGCUGGGGACUGUCAGACUAGAGUGUAGGAAGGGGAGGUGGAAUUCCAGGUGUAGGGGUGAAAUCUGUAGAUAUCUGGAAGAACACCGAUGGCGAAGGCAAGCUUCUAGCAAUACACUGACGCUGAGGCGCGAAAGCGUGGGGAGCGAACA